GAUGAAGAACGUAGCGAAAUGCGAUAAGUAGUGUGAAUUGCAGAAUUCAGUGAAUCAUCGAAUCUUUGAACGCACAUUGCGCCCCUUGGUAUUCCAUGGGGCAUGCCUGUUCGAGCGUCAUUAUAACCCCUCAAGCUCAGCUUGGUAUUGGGGCCUGCCAUCCUGGCAGCCCUUAAAAUCAGUGGCGGUGCCAUCCGGCUCUAAGCGUAGUAACUCUUCUCGCUAUGGAGUCCUGGUGGAUGCUUGCCAUUAAUCUUUUAACUUCUAUGGUUGACCUCGGAUCAGGUAGGGAUACCCGCUGAACUUAAGCAUAUCAAUAAGCGGAGGA
rnacentral:misc_RNA from 1 species